GAUGAACGCUGGCGGCGUGCCUAAUACAUGCCAGUCGAGCGAACAGACGAGGAGCUUGCUCCUCUGACGUUAGCGGCGGACGGGUGAGUAACACGUGGAUAACCUACCUAUAAGACUGGGAUAACUUCGGGAAACCGGAGCUAAUACCGGAUAAUAUAUUGAACCGCAUGGUUCAAUAGUGAAAGACGGUUUUGCUGUCACUUAUAGAUGGAUCCGCGCCGCAUUAGCUAGUUGGUAAGGUAACGGCUUACCAAGGCAACGAUGCGUAGCCGACCUGAGAGGGUGAUCGGCCACACUGGAACUGAGACACGGUCCAGACUCCUACGGGAGGCAGCAGUAGGGAAUCUUCCGCAAUGGGCGAAAGCUUGACGGAGCAACGCCGCGUGAGUGAUGAAGGUCUUCGGAUCGUAAAACUCUGUUAUUAGGGCAGAACAAAUGUGUAAGUAACUAUGCACGUCUUGACGGUACCUAAUCAGAAAGCCACGGCUAACUACGUG
rnacentral:rRNA from 1 species